rnacentral:snoRNA from 1 species
UGGAUCAAUGAUGACCACUGGUGGCAUAUGAGUCAUGGAUGAUGACUGUGGGUCUGGAUAUCUGAGGUCCAA